CAUUGUUGAAUUCCAACUAAAUAUUUAUUGUAUUAUGAUUUUGUUUUUUAGCUUUGAAUCAAUUGAUGAUGUCACUUGGUUCUCUUUGGUUCCAAACCAACCUAUCCAAUUCAAUUUUUCCUCUUUUCUCUAUUCCCAUUGUCAGAUCUAAUUCAAAGUUCCUUUUCCUUUUCUCUUUUCUCUCACUUCUCACUUAGAACUUCCCUCUUAUCUCACUUAUCUCAAUUCUAGAAUAAUAUUUCUCUUCCUCUUCUUCUUUCUUUUCCUCUUCCUCUUCUUUCUUCUUUUUUUACUCUAUUUCAGAAUCAAAAUAUAAAUCGAAACGAAAACAGGAAAAAAGGAGGGAUACCAAAUAGAAUGGGGGGAAAUCGGCGGCCACGGUGAUGCGAACAAGGGAGCGGAGAACGAAAGGGUACUUCGGCGGUGGUGGCGGAUUCGUGAUGAACAUGUGGUGGUUGGGAUUCGCAGUUUUUCGGUGACAAAUUUGGCGGUAGUCUUCUACCUAUUGACUUUUAAAAAUGAGUGGAUAAUAAACUUUUGCUACCUGUUGUUUUUCAUAUACCAGUGAAAAGUUUAUACCUUUUCUGCAUUUCCUUUCAUAUCAGUUUAAAAAAUCUUACUUUUAGUUUCUGUUCAACUUUUCUUCAUUUCGUAUCUUUAGUAUUCUAUGCUAAUUUUGGGGUUGUGUUGUUGAUUAUUCUAUUAGUUUUCUUGAUUUUCUGUGAAAGGUGAGAUUUACAUAGUAACUGUUGAAAGUGAACCUAUUAUAAGUUAUACUGGAGGUAUUGAUGAGCUUGGACUUCUAUUUAAUGUCAUCAAUUGUUUAUUUCAAGGACACCAAGGAACAGUUGAUAACGAAAGGUGAUGAUUGUGCUCCUGGAUUUAUAUGUGCAGAUUUACUCAUCUUCUACCAACGCUGUUACUUCAAACUUGUCUCUUCUCUUUUGAACAUUAUUGCUUCUUUUUGUUCCCAAAAUGAAGAUGACUUUGUUUUCUCUUUUUUUUUCCAGUUUAAAUGGCACAUUUAACUGCAGGUCAAAUCAUUUGCAUCUUUGUUUCUUUUUAUUUCAGAUUGCAAUGUGUCUUUGGAAGGAACCUAUGUAAAAACGUAAAUCCAUUUUCUGCAAUGGCAAAAUUGUUUCCGGCAGAUUUCGAGUGUGGUGGUUCAGUUUAUCGCCAGUGAUGUGUUAGGGAAAGUAAAAUUGGAUUUGUUAUGCACGGUGGUGGCCGAUUUCUAAGUUGAAAAAGAGGUGGUGGCUUGAGCAUUUUACGGUGAUAUGCGGUUUCGCGGUGGUAAAGCUUCAAACUUUUUGAACAUCUUAGAUUUAUUUUGAUGUAUCUCAUUCAUAUUAUGGGCAUAAAAGUCAACAUUAUCAUAAGGUAUGAAUAAAAUCUUAAACUUCUUCACGUUUUACUUUCCCAAGUCGUGCUUGAGUCGAUGAUAGGUGCGCACGGUGUUCCUAAACAGGUUGUAGUAUGAUAAUUGAAGUUCAAGCUUGACGUUAAUGUUGUUGGCCAGGGACAUGCAUUGCAUUUGUUGUAGGAAAACUUAUACAAUUAUUUUGAACAUGUUAUCCUUAUAACUAGCGGAAGUCGGAAACAAGAGUUUGUAAUUUUGUUUUGUAAAGAUUUGAAGUUAAAUAAUAAAUUUGUGAGUUUUUUUUUGAA